rnacentral:rRNA from 1 species
GAUGAACGCUGGCGGCGUGCUUAACACAUGCAAGUCGAACGAAGCACUUUAUUUGAUUUCCUUCGGGACUGAUUAUUUUGUGACUGAGUGGCGGACGGGUGAGUAACGCGUGGGUAACCUGCCUUGUACAGGGGGAUAACAGUUGGAAACGGCUGCUAAUACCGCAUAAGCGCACAGCAUCGCAUGAUGCAGUGUGAAAAACUCCGGUGGUAUACGAUGGACCCGCGUUGGAUUAUCUAGUUGGUGAGGUAACGGCCCACCAAGGCGACGAUCCAUAGCCGAGCUGAGAGGGUGGCCGGACACAUUGGGACUGGGACGCAGCCCGAACUCCUACGGGAGGCAGCAGUGGGGAAUAUUGCACAAUGGGCGAAAGCCUGAUGCAGCGACGCCGCGUGAGCGAAGAAGUAUUUCGGUAUGUAAAGCUCUAUCAGCAGGGAAGAUAAUGACGGUACCUGACUAAGAAGCACCGGCUAAAUACGUG